CCUACGGGUGGCAGCAGUGAGGAAUAUUGGUCAAUGGGCGCGAGCCUGAACCAGCCAAGUCGCGUGAGGGAAGACGGUCCUAUGGAUUGUAAACCUCUUUUGUCGGGGAGCAAAAGACGCCACGUGUGGUGUUCUGAGAGUACCCUAAGAAUAAGCAUCGGCUAACUCCGUGCCAGCAGCCGCGGUAAUACGGAGGAUCCGAGCGUUAUCCGGAUUUAUUGGGUUUAAAGGGUGCGCAGGCGGAAGAUAAAGUCAGCGGUAAAAUUGAGAGGCUCAACCUGUUCGAGCCUUUGAUACUGGUGGUCUUGAGUGUGCGUGAGGUAUGCGGAAUGCGUGGUGUAGCGGUGAAAUGCAUAGAGAUCACGCAGAACUCCGAUUGCGAAGGCAGCAUACC
rnacentral:rRNA from 1 species